UGUAUCUUCGUCUCUUGGAAUGACCUCUUGUUGCGGCAGAUAAAAUCACUCCCCGCAAUCAGCACUACAACAAUGCCAUCACAACCCGCUUUAAAGACUGGAUGCCAGGAACAAAAGUAAAAAAACAGGCAACCUUCAAGCAGACUCUAAAGUCUUGUCAUGGAAAACAAAAACUCUGACAGCUUUGAGGACCAUGCAGUGUACAUGACUGGGGAAGAUGGCCCUGACUCGGAGCUCCUGGAACCUUUCUGUGAGGACGAAGACUGCCCAGAAUGUCACCAGUGGCUCAAGAGGGCCGAAAACCAUGAAGCAGGUUUGGACAGACCAGGCAGAGGGCAGCGCGACGCACCAAGUGGCCACAUGAUGAUGGAGGAGCAUACAGAUGUGCUUGCCAGUAGUCCCACUGCCAGACAUUAUUGUGAGGGCUGGCCACUUUGCCUGAGAAGGACCACUGUGAUGACAACCACACUGAGCAAUGUUUACGAG